CAAUAGCGUAUAUUAAAGUUGUUGCAGUUAAAAAGCUCGUAGUCGGAUUUUGGCUGAGAACGAUCGGUCCGCCGUUAGGUGUGCACUGAUUGGUCUCAGCUUCCUGGUGAGGAGGUGUGCUUCACGGCCACUUAGUCACCGUGGUUACUUUGAAAAAAUUAGAGUGUUCAAAGCGGGCUUACGCUUGAAUAUAUUAGCAUGGAAUAACACCAUAGGACUCCUGUCCUAUUUCGUUGGUCUCGGGACGGGAGUAAUGAUUAAGAGGAACAGUUGGGGGCAUUCGUAUUUCAUUGUCAGAGGUGAAAUUCUUGGAUUUAUGAAAGACGAACUACUGCGAAAGCAUUUGCCAAGGAUGUUUUCAUUAA
rnacentral:rRNA from 1 species